rnacentral:lncRNA from 13 species
UUGCAGCGAAAUUGUAAUCUUUGAAGUCUUGUGAGAGCAAAUUUCUAGCAAGAUCCGUGGAAAUAAUCUAAUAGCCAAUAUAAGAAAAAGAGCAAUGUUAUAUUAUAAUUCAAAAUGGAGGAUACUGCAAAACCAGUAGAUGUCUUCGUCGCAAAAAUUAAAAACCAGUAAUGAGAGGUUGCUGCUGUACAGUCUGUAUUCCCUAAAAUAAUUACAAAUUUCCUUGCCAGAUGUAUAAACUGGGGAGGCACCCAGAAGACCAAAAUUGCGUUUAAUAGCAGCAAAACAUAUGAGGCUAUUCAAGCCACUAUUUUGCUGAAGUUUGGUAAUACAAUCUAGAUCUAGAUUAACCCGAAAAUUGGCGAUGGUUUAGCGCAAGUGCUCAGCAAGUGGUGUAAAUGCGUUUCAUAAAAAUAGAUAUUGCUAAAAUGUGAUAUAUAUACAUAUAUAUUAUUAGUACUUGUUUUACGCAGCAAUUUAUAUAAUGUGCAAUUUAACUAUAUAAAAUAGAUAUAUAAGCAGGCAUAAUCUACAAUA